AAGACUUGACCUUUCUUUUGAAUUGCCCUGUGGUGUUAAAAAAUACCAAACAAACCUCCUUCCCCAAAGAAACACCCCCCAAAAUACCCCAACAACUCACCAAACAGAAAAUCACCGACAACCAAAAAGCAGAAGUAACAAACAUGAACAGCAAGUGGAGGAAGAGUUUGAAAGCGGGCUGGACAGAAGCAGAAGUGUUACUGCCCACUCUUAGGCCACUGUGCUGAUUAAAUGGGUGUUGUUAGGUUUAGAUCAGUAGUUCGUUGUUGUUGGGUUUUUCGGUGGUGUUGAUUUUUUUGUUGUCGUUGUGGGGGAUUGUUUGUUUGUUUGUUUUAUUUUGUUUUUUUUCUGUAUUAAAAAUCUGGCUCAGUUACUCUCUAGUUCUGGUGUGUUUUCUUUUCCAGGUGGUUGGUGUUUCUGCAGUGUUUGGCACAGGACUGGGGGAGAUUUUUACCCAGCUUUCUAAAGCUGUAGAUGAAUAGGAGAGACUGAAUGCACUCCCUUUAUUCACCUUUUCAGAGAGUAUCGUCCAGAAUACGAGCGCCUGAGAAAAACACUGGUAAGUGUUUUUAGCUGUUUUACACCUGAACAGUGUAUCUUGGGUCACUUUUAGGCACACAAUUGCCUUUAUGUUGAGAGGGUCUAACAUUUCAUUUACUAGUCGUACUCACUGUGGGAAAACUCCUGUCCUGAAGGAGUCCACCAUUUGCCUUUUUUUUCCUAGAUGUGGUGGAGCAUAUCUUUACAAAAAUAAAGAUUUUGUAAAACAGA